UUCAGCUUGUGUUUUGGUAUUACAUUUGAUGGGCAAUCUCCUCUCCCUCUUGUGUAAUGUGGAAAGCUAAACUACCUCCUAAGAUGGUCAAGCAUGCUGAUGUCUGGGUUUAAGACUACCUCUUUGUAAUGUAUAUUUCACGUAUGCAAAUGCUACGGCUUGUUUUAAUCAACUGGUUUCUACCUACCCCGGAUCAUUGAUGCUUGUUUUAAUCCUGUGCCCAGACCAUACUUCACGAGACGCUGACCCAUAAAAGCAUUACCCAGUGUUAAUAAGAGAGCAAAUUGGCGCAUAUGUGGGUUGUGAUCAUAGCAUUAGAGAAGAACUGGGAGCGCGUUUGGACAAAGGAAAUUAUGGAAGCGUACGUUUGCUAAUAGGGUUGUUUUUGUGUAUCACAAGGACGUUGACCCGUAAAAGUAAUGUGAAGGGUUGACACAUAAAACCCCUCUAAGUUGAGGUUGUGCGGGUCUGAUGCUUUACAUUGCUUGCCGUCUUUAGAGGGCGUUUUGGAGCAUACGUUUGGUAGCAGAGUUGUUUGUGUGUGUCACAAGGACGUUGACCCAUGCUUAUAACCUAGUCUUUAAUUAGAGAGUGGAACAUUGGCGCACAUCCAUGUGGGAUGUGAUCAUAGCAUUAGAGAGGAACUGGAAGUGCGUUUGUACAAAAGGAAAUGGAGGUUGUGCAGCAUGCUUCACAUUGCAUUUCGUCUUUAGAGGGCGUUUUGGAGCAUACACGCACUAGAUGCUAGAUUUUCAUACUAGUAUAACACAUCACUGUUGAACUCUCAGCUGGUUUAUUGCAAUCUGAAUGGUGUUUUCGAU